rnacentral:rRNA from 1 species
GGGGAAUAUUGCACAAUGGGGGGAACCCUGAUGCAGCGACGCCGCGUGAGUGAAGAAGUAUUUCGGUAUGUAAAGCUCUAUCAGCAGGGAAGAAAAUGACAGUACCUGACCAAGAAGCCCCGGCUAACUAC